rnacentral:tRNA from 1 species
GCCGGCGUAGCUCAGUUGGUAGAGCAGUAGUUUUGUAAACUAUAGGUCGGGGGUUCAAGUCCCUUCGCCGGCUCAA